UACGUAGGGGGCAAGCGUUGUCCGGAUUAUUGGGCGUAAAGAGCGUGUAGGCGGCCUGGUAGGUCAGCUGUGAAAACUCGAGGCUCAACCUCGAGACGCCGGUUGAAACCAUCAGGCUAGAGUCCGGAAGAGGAGAGUGGAAUUCCCGGUGUAGCGGUGAAAUGCGCAGAUAUCGGGAAGAACACCCGUGGCUAAGGCGGCUCUCUAGUACGGUACUGACGCUGAGACGCGAAAGCGUGGGGAGCGAACAGG
rnacentral:rRNA from 1 species